rnacentral:rRNA from 1 species
UACGGAGGGUGCAAGCGUUAUCCGGAUUCACUGGGUUUAAAGGGAGCGCAGGCGGAUUGGUAAGUCAGUGGUGAAAGGCUUAAGCUUAACUUGGGAACUGCCAUUGAUACUAUCAGUCUUGAAUGUUGUUGAGGUUUGCGGAAUGGGUUCAUGUAGCGGUGAAAUGCAUAGAUAUGACCCGGAACACCUAUUGCGAAGGCAGCAGGCUAAACAAAUAUUGACGCUGAGGCUCGAAAGCGUGGGGAUCAAACAGG